GACAACUCCACUUUCUUUCAUUCCUCACUUUUUUUCUUCUUCCUUUUCUAGAUGCCUCUCAAAUCCUAUCUAUUUUACGGAUGCUUUUGUUUGUUCUUUUUUCUUUGAAUGCUCUUACUGCUUUUUGCUUAAAUUGUUAAUUUGACUGUAAGCAAUCAAUGAUUAGGGAAAAUAGGGACAUUAAAGUGAUAGUAUGCAACAUUUUAUUUUUGC
rnacentral:misc_RNA from 1 species